CCCUUAGAUGUUCUGGGCGGCCCGCGCACUACAUUGGCACUAGCAAAGAGAUCCUAGAUUGAAUUCUUUGGGGUAUUCUUCUAAAUGGUGUCGUGACUGGGAUAAAUCCUUGUAAUUAUUGGUUUUGAACGAGGAAUUCCUUGUAAUCGCGGUUUAUCAGCUCGCGUUGAAUGCGUCCCUGCCCUUUGUACACACCGCCCGUCGCUCCUACCGAUGGAUCGUCCGGUGAAGCUCACGGAGUGACUGUUCACGCAACGGUUUACGAAGUGAGAUGGACCUCACGAUUUAGAGGAAGGAGAAGUCGUAACA
rnacentral:rRNA from 1 species